CAGCCGCCGCGGUAAUACAGAGGGUGCGAGCGUUAAUCGGAUUUACUGGGCGUAAAGCGUGCGUAGGCGGCUUUUUAAGUCGGAUGUGAAAUCCCUGAGCUUAACUUAGGAAUUUCAUUCGAUACUGGGAAGCUAGAGUAUGGGAGAGGAUGGUAGAAUUCCAGGUGUAGCGGUGAAAUGCGUAGAGAUCUGGAGGAAUACCGAUGGCGAAGGCAGCCAUCUGGCCUAAUACUGACGCUGAGGUACGAAAGCAUGGGGAGCAAACAGGAUUAGAUACCCCGGUAGUCCCUGUCUCUUAUAU
rnacentral:rRNA from 1 species